UCCCAUGUGGCUCAGUUGGUAGAGCAUGGUGUUUGCAACGCCAGGGUUGUGGGUUUGAUUCCCAUGGGGGAC
rfam:Salmo salar isolate Sally breed double haploid chromosome ssa16, whole genome shotgun sequence.